rnacentral:rRNA from 1 species
CAUGCAAGUCGAACGAUGAACCAGGAGCUUGCUCUUGGGGAUUAGUGGCGAACGGGUGAGUAACACGUGAGUAACCUGCCCUUGACUCUGGGAUAAGCGUUGGAAACGACGUCUAAUACCGGAUACGAGCUUCCACCGCAUGGUGAGUUGCUGGAAAGAAUUUUGGUCAAGGAUGGACUCGCGGCCUAUCAGCUUGUUGGUGAGGUAAUGGCUCACCAAGGCGACGACGGGUAGCCGGCCUGAGAGGGUGACCGGCCACACUGGGACUGAGACACGGCCCAGACUCCUACGGGAGGCAGCAGUGGGGAAUAUUGCACAAUGGGCGAAAGCCUGAUGCAGCAACGCCGCGUGAGGGACGACGGCCUUCGGGUUGUAAACCUCUUUUAGCAGGGAAGAAGCGAAAGUGACGGUACCUGCAGAAAAAGCACCGGCUAACUACGUGCCAGCAGCCGCGGUAAUACGUAGGGUGCAAGCGUUGUCCGGAAUUAUUGGGCGUAAAGAGCUCGUAGGCGGUUUGUCGCGUCUGCUGUGAAAUCCCGAGGCUCAACCUCGGGUCUGCAGUGGGUACGGGCAGACUAGAGUGCGGUAGGGGAGAUUGGAAUUCCUGGUGUAGCGGUGGAAUGCGCAGAUAUCAGGAGGAACACCGAUGGCGAAGGCAGAUCUCUGGGCCGCUACUGACGCUGAGGAGCGAAAGGGUGGGGAGCAAACAGGCUUAGAUACCCUGGUAGUCCACCCCGUAAACGUUGGGCGCUAGAUGUGG